UUUGCCAGCAUGGCGGUGGCGGCAGACAGCGAUUGGGAUGGCCUCUAUACCGUGUCUGCUGCAUCGCCACGCUACCACGACGCCGUCCAGCACCGCCGCACCCGCCUCAUCCUAAUUCAAUUUCGUCAGCAGCUACAGCAUCGGGCAUUGCAUCGACGGCGUGCAGAGCUGGAGCGACGCUCGAGGGGAACGGGGACGGCGUUGACACCAUUGUCGCCGCUUUGCCUGCUUCCUCGACUGCGACCAUCUCCCCUGCACCCGCCACACUGACCCGAAUUCGGCGGUGGCGGCGGCGGGCAUCUGCAUCAACGGCGAGCAGCUCUGACCAACCUCAAACAAUUGCAGCACCCGCCUCACCCCCAAUAUGUUUUCGUCCACAUUUCUGCGAGCUUGAGUCACAAUAGCUGAUAGUACUAAUUUUGCAGUGGCUGCACAUGACAGGAACCAUUGCUUUGGUCACAAUAUACUUCCGCAUCAGCUGUUCGAUGUGGAGUUCCUACCAUGUCCUCUAUGUUUCGGUGCCGGCAACCCUUGGCACCUCCUUCUUGGCAGGCUAUCCCGACGAUGUCCCUGGCCUCCCACCUCUACACCGACCAACGAGCUUCUAGUGAUGGCGUCCGCAAGUUGUUCGACGCUGGGUCCCUGCCAGAGCACCCGGACUGAAAACUGGCCAGGAAAGAACAAGGCUCUGCCGUGAACAAGGAUAUGCCAUCAGCAAGAUGUUUCUCCUGCAUGACUACGUCAUCAUCGUGCUGAGAAACCUGAAGUGAGCAGCCAGCAAGUCACCUUGCUCAUCUUUAUUGAAGACUGUAACUGAGAAACAUGAGAAACCUUGAUGUUACCUUGCACAUCUUUGUUGAAGACUGUAAUUAACUUAUCUGAUAAAUGCUCCCAGUUCACAGAAACUCAAUCCAACGAAGUACAAGAUGUGAUAACUUUUGAGUAAAGAAUCCGGAUUUUGAAAUA